GGACUACAGGGGUUUCUAAUCCCGUUCGCUACCCUAGCUUUCGCGCCUCAGCGUCAGAAGAGGUCCAGCACGUCGCUUUCGCCACCGGCGUUCCUUCCGAUAUCAACACAUUUCACCGCUCCACCGGAAGUUCCACAUGCCCCUACCUCCCUCGAGACGUCCAGUAUCAAAGGCAAUUUUCCGGUUAAGCCGAAAGAUUUCACCCCUGACUUGGACAUCCGCCUACGCGCCCUUUAAGCCCAGUGAUUCCGAACAACGUUUGCACGGUUCGUCUUACCGCGGCGGCUGGCAC
rnacentral:rRNA from 3 species